AUUGAACGCUGGCGGCAGGCCUAACACAUGCAAGUCGAACGAGUGGCGGACGGGUGAGUAAUGUCUGGGAAACUGCCCGAUGGAGGGGGAUAACUACUGGAAACGGUAGCUAAUACCGCAUACCAUCAGAUGUGCCCAGAUGGGAUUAGCUAGUAGGUGGGGUAACGGCUCACCUAGGCGACGAUCCCUAGCUGAUCUUAGCGGAUGACCAGCCACACGGGGACGGAGAAACGGUCCAGACUCCUACGGGAGGCAGCAGUGGGGAAUAUUGCACAAUGGGCGAAAGCCUGAGGCAGCCAUGCCGCGUGGGUGAAGAAGGCCUUCGGGUUGUAAAGCACUUUCAGCGGGGAGGCGUUACCCGCAGAAGAAGCACCGGCUAACUCCGUGCCAGCAGCCGCGGUAAUAC
rnacentral:rRNA from 1 species